UUAAGCGACUAAGCGUACACGGUGGAUGCCCUGGCAGUCAGAGGCGAUGAAGGACGUGCUAAUCUGCGAUAAGCGUCGGUGAGGUGAUAUGAACCGUUAUAACCGGCGAUUUCCGAAUGGGGAAACCCAGUGUGUUUCGACACACUAUCAUUAACUGAAUCCAUAGGUUAAUGAGGCGAACCGGGGGAACUGAAACAUCUAAGUACCCCGAGGAAAAGAAAUCAACCGAGAUUCCCCCAGUAGCGGCGAGCGAACGGGGAGGAGCCCAGAGCCUGAAUCAGUGUGUGUGUUAGUGGAAGCGUCUGGAAAGGCGCGCGAUACAGGGUGACAGCCCCGUACACAAAAAUGCACAUAUUGUGAGCUCGAUGAGUAGGGCGGGACACGUGGUAUCCUGUCUGAAUAUGGGGGGACCAUCCUCCAAGGCUAAAUACUCCUGACUGACCGAUAGUGAACCAGUACCGUGAGGGAAAGGCGAAAAGAACCCCGGCGAGGGGAGUGAAAAAGAACCUGAAACCGUGUACGUACAAGCAGUGGGAGCCUCUUUAUGGGGUGACUGCGUACCUUUUGUAUAAUGGGUCAGCGACUUAUAUUCUGUAGCAAGGUUAACCGAAUAGGGGAGCCGAAGGGAAACCGAGUCUUAACUGGGCGUUAAGUUGCAGGGUAUAGACCCGAAACCCGGUGAUCUAGCCAUGGGCAGGUUGAAGGUUGGGUAACACUAACUGGAGGACCGAACCGACUAAUGUUGAAAAAUUAGCGGAUGACUUGUGGCUGGGGGUGAAAGGCCAAUCAAACCGGGAGAUAGCUGGUUCUCCCCGAAAGCUAUUUAGGUAGCGCCUCGUGAAUUCAUCUCCGGGGGUAGAGCACUGUUUCGGCAAGGGGGUCAUCCCGACUUACCAACCCGAUGCAAACUGCGAAUACCGGAGAAUGUUAUCACGGGAGACACACGGCGGGUGCUAACGUCCGUCGUGAAGAGGGAAACAACCCAGACCGCCAGCUAAGGUCCCAAAGUCAUGGUUAAGUGGGAAACGAUGUGGGAAGGCCCAGACAGCCAGGAUGUUGGCUUAGAAGCAGCCAUCAUUUAAAGAAAGCGUAAUAGCUCACUGGUCGAGUCGGCCUGCGCGGAAGAUGUAACGGGGCUAAACCAUGCACCGAAGCUGCGGCAGCGACACUAUGUGUUGUUGGGUAGGGGAGCGUUCUGUAAGCCUGUGAAGGUGGCCUGUGAGGGUUGCUGGAGGUAUCAGAAGUGCGAAUGCUGACAUAAGUAACGAUAAAGCGGGUGAAAAGCCCGCUCGCCGGAAGACCAAGGGUUCCUGUCCAACGUUAAUCGGGGCAGGGUGAGUCGACCCCUAAGGCGAGGCCGAAAGGCGUAGUCGAUGGGAAACAGGUUAAUAUUCCUGUACUUGGUGUUACUGCGAAGGGGGGACGGAGAAGGCUAUGUUGGCCGGGCGACGGUUGUCCCGGUUUAAGCGUGUAGGCUGGUUUUCCAGGCAAAUCCGGAAAACCAAGGCUGAGGCGUGAUGACGAGGCACUACGGUGCUGAAGCGACAAAUGCCCUGCUUCCAGGAAAAGCCUCUAAGCAUCAGGUAACAUCAAAUCGUACCCCAAACCGACACAGGUGGUCAGGUAGAGAAUACCAAGGCGCUUGAGAGAACUCGGGUGAAGGAACUAGGCAAAAUGGUGCCGUAACUUCGGGAGAAGGCACGCUGAUAUGUAGGUGAAGCGACUUGCUCGUGGAGCUGAAAUCAGUCGAAGAUACCAGCUGGCUGCAACUGUUUAUUAAAAACACAGCACUGUGCAAACACGAAAGUGGACGUAUACGGUGUGACGCCUGCCCGGUGCCGGAAGGUUAAUUGAUGGGGUUAGCGGUAACGCGAAGCUCUUGAUCGAAGCCCCGGUAAACGGCGGCCGUAACUAUAACGGUCCUAAGGUAGCGAAAUUCCUUGUCGGGUAAGUUCCGACCUGCACGAAUGGCGUAAUGAUGGCCAGGCUGUCUCCACCCGAGACUCAGUGAAAUUGAACUCGCUGUGAAGAUGCAGUGUACCCGCGGCAAGACGGAAAGACCCCGUGAACCUUUACUAUAGCUUGACACUGAACAUUGAGCCUUGAUGUGUAGGAUAGGUGGGAGGCUUUGAAGUGUGGACGCCAGUCUGCAUGGAGCCGACCUUGAAAUACCACCCUUUAAUGUUUGAUGUUCUAACGUUGGCCCGUAAUCCGGGUUGCGGACAGUGUCUGGUGGGUAGUUUGACUGGGGCGGUCUCCUCCUAAAGAGUAACGGAGGAGCACGAAGGUUGGCUAAUCCUGGUCGGACAUCAGGAGGUUAGUGCAAUGGCAUAAGCCAGCUUGACUGCGAGCGUGACGGCGCGAGCAGGUGCGAAAGCAGGUCAUAGUGAUCCGGUGGUUCUGAAUGGAAGGGCCAUCGCUCAACGGAUAAAAGGUACUCCGGGGAUAACAGGCUGAUACCGCCCAAGAGUUCAUAUCGACGGCGGUGUUUGGCACCUCGAUGUCGGCUCAUCACAUCCUGGGGCUGAAGUAGGUCCCAAGGGUAUGGCUGUUCGCCAUUUAAAGUGGUACGCGAGCUGGGUUUAGAACGUCGUGAGACAGUUCGGUCCCUAUCUGCCGUGGGCGCUGGAGAACUGAGGGGGGCUGCUCCUAGUACGAGAGGACCGGAGUGGACGCAUCACUGGUGUUCGGGUUGUCAUGCCAAUGGCACUGCCCGGUAGCUAAAUGCGGAAGAGAUAAGUGCUGAAAGCAUCUAAGCACGAAACUUGCCCCGAGAUGAGUUCUCCCUGACUCCUUGAGAGUCCUGAAGGAACGUUGAAGACGACGACGUUGAUAGGCCGGGUGUGUAAGCGCAGCGAUGCGUUGAGCUAACCGGUACUAAUGAACCGUGAGGCUUAACCUU
rnacentral:rRNA from 48 species